GACGAACGCUGGCGGCGUGCUUAACACAUGCAAGUCGAACGGUGAAGCGCCUUCCUUUCUGGUGGGUGUGUAUGAGCGGCGAACGGGUGAGUAACACGUGAGCAACCUGCCCCCUUCUGCUGGACAACCGCAUGAAAGAGUUGCCAAUACGGGAUAUUCUGGGUCUGUCGCAUGAUUGGUCAGGGAAAGAUUUUGUGUCGGUGGUGGAUGGGCUCGCGGCUUAUCAGCUUGUUGGUGGGGUGAUGGCCUACCAAGGCGGUGAGGAGUAGCCGGCCUGAGAGGAUGGACGGUCCGAGAGCGGCGGAGCGGCCGAGCAGACUCCGGCGGGAGGCAGCAGGGAAGAUUCUUGAACGGGGGGCGGCAGGCUGAAGCAGCGCCGCGGGGUGAGGGAUGGAGGCCGUCGGGUAGUGAACCUCUUUCGGGAGUGAAGCAGGGCUGCCUCGUUUGUGGGUGGGUUGACGGUAGCUGAACAAGAAGCCCCGGCUAACUACGUG
rnacentral:rRNA from 1 species